rnacentral:lncRNA from 1 species
GAAAAAGAUCUUGGGUAUGGAAUCACUUCAUUGAGGAAAAAAAUUCUGAAGGAUCAAUAGCUAAGUACAAAUAUUGUAAAAAAGUUUUAAGUGGGAGCACUAAAGGAGGAACGAGUCAUCUAAAAUGCCAUCUAGAAAAUGUUUACAAAAAGUAUCAAAAGAAUUCGACUAAUCAGUUGCUCUUACUACCAAGUUCAAAAGAUCCGAUAAAGGCUUUCAAAUUCAAUCAAGAAGAGAGUAGAAAAAUUCUUGCAAAAUUUAUUAUAUGUGCUGAGCUUCCAUUUUGUAUUGUUGAGCACACUAUUUUUCUGGAUUUUAUGAGAUCUCUUCAGCCAUUAUUCAAAAUUAUGGGUCGUAAGACUGUAAAACAUGAUUGUAUGGCUUUAUAUCAAGAAGAGAGGAAAAAAUUGCAUGAUGUAUUCAAGAACCUAAGUUCUCGGGUUAGUUUCACUACUAAUAUUUGGACAUCUAAUCAGAAAAUUGGUUACAUUUCUUUUAUAGCACAUUAUAUUGAUUUUGAUUUUAUUCUACAUAAGAAGAUUAUUAGUUUCAAGAAACUCCCAUACCCUCNNNNNNNNNNNNNNNNNNNNUACAUUUCUUUUAUAGCACAUUAUAUUGAUUUUGAUUUUAUUCUACAUAAGAAGAUUAUUAGUUUCAAGAAACUCCCAUACCCUCACACCAGCUUUGCAAUUGAAGAUGCUAUAAGAAAAUAUCUUGUUGAAUGGGAAUUGGAUUGUAAAAUAUGUGCUAUUACUUUGGAUAAUUGCAGCACAAAUGAUGUUGUAAUGAGAAGGCUCCGAGAUCACUUUUGUUAUUCAAUGUUGUUUAGUGGGGAGUACAGUCAUAUUAGAUGUUGUGCACAUAUAUUAAAUAUUAUGGUUCAGGAUGGAAUGAAAAUCAUUCAUGAAGCUAUUGAACGUAUAAGAAAAAUUGUUAGAUAUGUCUCUGCAUCCCCAUCUCGAAUGAAAGCAUUUAAUGAAAUUGUACAAUAUAUGAGACUUCCUGCUAGAAAAGGACUCACUUUGGAUGUUCCUACAAGGUGGAAUUCUACUUAUGAAAUGUUGCAUGAUGCACUUGGUUAUAAAGAUGCUCUUAUUAGAUAUGCAACUGAGCAUUCACGUGUAUACCUCACCAAUGAUGAAUAAAAAAAGGCUUCUAUAAUUCUUAAAUUUUUAGAAGCCUUUCUUGAUGCCACUAAAGUAUUUUCUGGUUGUAAGUAUUCCAUAUCCAAUUUAUACCUAAAAGAAGUUUGAGGAAGUUGAUGGAUGAAAGUAUCGAUACUGAUGAAACAGUGAAGCAAUUAACAAAUGAGAUGCUAAAGAAGUUUAACAAAUAUUGGUCUCAGUGCAAUAAUUUAUUGGUAAUUGCUUCUAUUUUGGAUUCCAGAUCAAAGUUGAUAUUUGUAGAGUUUUGUUAUCAAAAGGCAUUUGAGUUGGAGGACUGCAGAAAAAGGACUGAUGAUAUUCGUGCUUGUCUUUUUAAAUUGUAUAAUGAGUAUGUAGAUGCAACAAGAAUGCAGCCCUCUAUGAGUUCAAGUGAGCGAACAUCUAAUUUUGGUGGACAAGGUGAUAUAAGUUCAGUUUCUUCCAAAAAAAAAUUUGGUAUGGAUUUUGCUCAAUUUAGAAGUCAGAGUUAUUCAAAAUGCCCUAAGAGAUCCGAGCUGGAUAGUUAUUUGGAUGAUGAUGUGCUUCCUGAUUUGGAGAAUAAGGAGUUUGACAUCUUGGCUUGGUGGAAGAGCAAUGCAGCAGUCUAUCCUAUACUAUCAAGAAUGGCUCGAGAUGUUUUAGCUAUUCCAGUCUCCACUGUUUCAUCUGAGUCGGCAUUCAGCACUGGUGGUAGAGUUGUGGAUCAGUAUCGAAGCUCUUUGAGCCCUUCUACCGUAGAAACCUUAGUUUGUACCCAAGAUUGGCUUCAUGAACAAUAUGAUGAAGGUACAUAAAUCUUUUAAAUUUAUCUAAUAUUUUUUAUUUGCUUAUUGUACUUAUAAUUUAAACAUUUAUGAUUGAUUUGUGUGUU